CUGAUUCUGAUUAUAAAAGCUCGUUGUUGGGACCCAGAGCCCUCUCAUGCCCCAUUGUUAUGGAACCCAGAGAUAUUGGGAAAUAACUGUGAGAUUUCACUGCCCAGCAUAGCAAUUGUUGCAUUUGUGAGGUGGGGAAAGGACUACUAAUGGAUCCAUGCACUCCUCAGGCGUCAUACUGAGUGUCAGAGAGUGUCUGUGACUGUUGGGAUGGGGAGAGGAAGAAAGGAAGGGAAUUGGUCCUGAUGGGAAAGAAGAAAAAGAAGGGAACCUGACGUCUCUCGUUUCUUCCACUUGCAGGAUGGAGAGCUAUGCUAGGUCAAUCCAUUAAAAGAACUUACUUAAGUGCCUACUAUAUGAUCUUAUAUGAAGGAGAAAGAGAGAAGAAGGAGGGAUGGAGAAAUGGAGAGGAAACAAGUCCUUGCCCUCAUGAAGCUUCCUUUUCCUGGAAAGGGACCGUCCUUGGAAAAUCAUAUAUCUGGAAUUUCUGAAGAUCUGCGUCACUGGCUAGUGAUGAAGGGUAUUUGCCAACUAGAAAAUGCUGUAAAUAUUGAACUACGAUUAUUUGAUUCCUUUGCAUGCAUUCUCACACCGCAGUGGGUGGGUUUAUCUCAUCUUUUCAUUCUGUUACAAUUAUCAGAAAGCUGGGAAUUGAUUCCUUCCUAUAAUUUGAUAUUUGGGGAUUGUGGGAAUGCCAGUGAUUGACUAGACAACUACCAUGUCAACAUGAAAGCAUCAAAGAAUAAACCUUUCCUCCAAAGCUGUGAAGUGCUAUUU
rnacentral:lncRNA from 1 species